AGAGUUUGAUCCUGGCUCAGAGCGAACGCUGGCGGCAGGCCUAACACAUGCAAGUCGAACGRACUCUUCGGAGUUAGUGGCGGACGGGUGAGUAACACGUGGGAACGUGCCUUUAGGUUCGGAAUARCUCMKGGAAACKKGUGSUAAURCCGAAUGUGCCCUUCGGGGGAAAGAUUUAUCGCCUUUAGAGCGGCCCGCGUCUGAUUAGCUAGUUGGUGAGGUAAUGGCUCACCAAGGCKACGAUCAGUAGCUGGUCUGAGAGGAUGACCAGCCACAUUGGGACUGAGACACGGCCCAAACUCCUACGGGAGGCAGCAGUGGGGAAUCUUGCGCAAUGGGCGAAAGCCUGACGCAGCCAUGCCGCGUGWAUGAUGAAGGUCUUAGGAUUGUAAAAUWCUUUCACCGGKGAMGAUAAUGACKGUASCCGGAGAAGAAGCCCCGGCUAACUUCGUGCCAGCAGCCGCGGUAAUACGAAGGGGGCUAGCGUUGCUCGGAAUUACUGGGCGUAAAGGGAGCGUAGGCGGACAUUUAAGUCAGRGGUGAAAUCCCGGAGCUCAACUYCGGAACUGCCUUUGAUACUGGGUGUCUUGAGUGUGAGAGAGGUAUGUGGAACUCCGAGUGUAGAGGUGAAAUUCGUAGAUAUUCGGAAGAACACCAGUGGCGAAGGCGACAUACUGGCUCAUUACUGACGCUGAGGCUCGAAAGCGUGGGGAGCAAACAGGAUUAGAUACCCUGGUAGUCC
rnacentral:rRNA from 1 species